rnacentral:lncRNA from 1 species
UUCGUGAUCCAUUAUACGAGGUCUUCGCCCAGUGUAGUCCAUGGGUGUCACAGUUUGACGAGGAAUGAGGUUUUCAUCCCAACUUAUGAAAUAAAGAUCUCCAUCAAGAUCACCACCGGAGCAUUCAUUUGGAUGAGGCCUGUACAUGACAAUUAAAUAAAUGAGGUUUUCAUCCCAACUUAUGAAAUAAAGAUCUCCAUCAAGAUCACCACCGGAGCAUUCAUUUGGAUGAGGCCUGUACAUGACAUUUCAAUGCUCCUGAGUACUCAAAAGAAUAUUAAAACCCCUUUGAGCAGUACCCAGAAAGCUUAAAGAGUUCUUGAUUCUCUCUCAGAAAUGUUUUCUUCAUCUAUUAUAAUUUCACUUUAACAAGGAGGAGGGAUGUGGCAGCACAAUAAAAAUAAUAAGUCGGGAAAGGGAAAAUGUAAAGCAGAAUUCUGGUCCAAGACUAACCAACUCUGCUCAGACCUCUUUUCAACUCUUCACACAUGCUAAAACAUUAUGAUGAAUUAUGUUAAGACGAAAAACAUG